rnacentral:rRNA from 1 species
GACGAACGCUGGCGGCGUGCCUAACACAUGCAAGUCGAGCGAAUGAAGUUCUUUCGGGAAUGGAUUUAGCGGCGGACGGGUGAGUAACACGUGGGCAACCUGCCCCAUAGAGGGGAAUAGCCUUCCGAAAGGGAGAUUAAUACCGCAUAAGAUUGUAGUACCGCAUGGUACAGCAAUUAAAGGAGCAAUCCGCUAUGAGAUGGGCCCGCGGCGCAUUAGCUAGUUGGUGAGGUAACGGCUCACCAAGGCGACGAUGCGUAGCCGACCUGAGAGGGUGAUCGGCCACAUUGGGACUGAGACACGGCCCAGACUCCUACGGGAGGCAGCAGUGGGGAAUAUUGCACAAUGGGGGAAACCCUGAUGCAGCAACGCCGCGUGAGUGAUGACGGCCUUCGGGUUGUAAAGCUCUGUCUUCAGGGACGAUAAUGACGGUACCUGAGGAGGAAGCCACGGCUAACUACGUGCCAGCAGCCGCAGUAAGAC